rnacentral:rRNA from 1 species
AGAGUUUGAUCCUGGCUCAGGACGAACGCUGGCGGCGUGCUUAACACAUGCAAGUCGAACGCUGAAGCUCAGCUUUUGUUGGGUGGAUGAGUGGCGAACGGGUGAGUAACACGUGAGUAACCUGCCCUCUUCUUUGGGAUAACGGUCGGAAACGGCUGCUAAUACCGGGUAUUCACUGUCCUUCGCAUGGGGGGUGGUGGAAAGGUUUUUUCUGGUGGGGGAUGGGCUCGCGGCCUAUCAGCUUGUUGGUGGGGUGAUGGCCUACCAAGGCUUUGACGGGUAGCCGGCCUGAGAGGGUGACCGGUCACAUUGGGACUGAGAUACGGCCCAGACUCCUACGGGAGGCAGCAGUGGGGAAUAUUGCACAAUGGGCGCAAGCCUGAUGCAGCGACGCCGCGUGAGGGAUGACGGCCUUCGGGUUGUAAACCUCUUUCGCUCAUGGUCAAGCCGCAACAGUGGUUGUGGUGAGGGUAGUGGGUAAAGAAGCGCCGGCUAACUACGUGCCAGCAGCCGCGGUAAUACGUAGGGCGCGAGCGUUGUCCGGAAUUAUUGGGCGUAAAGGGCUUGUAGGCGGUUGGUCGCGUCUGCCGUGAAAUCCUCUGGCUUAACUGGGGGCGUGCGGUGGGUACGGGCUGACUUGAGUGCGGUAGGGGAGACUGGAACUCCUGGUGUAGCGGUGGAAUGCGCAGAUAUCAGGAAGAACACCGGUGGCGAAGGCGGGUCUCUGGGCCGUUACUGACGCUGAGGAGCGAAAGCGUGGGGAGCGAACAGGAUUAGAUACCCUGGUAGUCCACGCUGUAAACGUUGGGCACUAGGUGUGGGGGCCACCCGUGGUUUCUGCGCCGUAGCUAACGCUUUAAGUGCCCCGCCUGGGGAGUACGGCCGCAAGGCUAAAACUCAAAGGAAUUGACGGGGGCCCGCACAA